CCUACGGGAGGCAGCAGUGAGGAAUAUUGGUCAAUGGACGAGAGUCUGAACCAGCCAAGUAGCGUGAAGGAUGACUGCCCUAUGGGUUGUAAACUUCUUUUAUAUGGGAAUAAAAUGUUCCACGUGUGGGAUUUUGUAUGUACCAUAUGAAUAAGGAUCGGCUAACUCCGUGCCAGCAGCCGCGGUAAUACGGAGGAUCCGAGCGUUAUCCGGAUUUAUUGGGUUUAAAGGGAGCGUAGGUGGAUUGUUAAGUCAGUUGUGAAAGUUUGCGGCUCAACCGUAAAAUUGCAGUUGAAACUGGCAGUCUUGAGUACAGUAGAGGUGGGCGGAAUUCGUGGUGUAGCGGUGAAAUGCUUAGAUAUCACUAAGAACUCCGAUUGCGAAGGCAGUUCACUGGACUGCAACUGACACUGAGGCUCGAAAGUGUGGGUAUCAAACAGGAUUAGAUACCCCUGUAGUC
rnacentral:rRNA from 1 species